rnacentral:rRNA from 1 species
UGGGGAAUUUUGGACAAUGGGGGCAACCCUGAUCCAGCAAUGCCGCGUGUGUGAAGAAGGCCUUCGGGUUGUAAAGCACUUUUGUCCGGAAAGAAAUCSCCCKGGCUAAUACCUAGGGKGGAUGACGGUACCGGAAGAAUAAGCACCGGCUAACUACGUGCCAGCAGCCGCGGUAAUACGUAGGGUGCRAGCGUUAAUCGGAAUUACUGGGCGUAAAGCGUGCGCAGGCGGUUGUGCAAGACAGAUGUGAAAUCCCCGGGCUUAACCUGGGAACUGCAUUUGUGACUGCACGGCUAGAGUGUGUCAGAGGGGGGUAGAAUUCCACGUGUAGCAGUGAAAUGCGUAGAUAUGUGGAGGAAUACCGAUGGCGAAGGCAGCCCCCUGGGAUAACACUGACGCUCAUGCACGAAAGCGUGGGGAGCAAACAGGAUUAGAUACCCUGGUAGUCCACGCCCUAAACGAUGUCAACUAGUUGUCGGGUMUUAAUUKMCUUGGUAACGCAGCUAACGCGUGAAGUUGACCGCCUGGGGAGUACGGUCGCAAGAUUA